rnacentral:lncRNA from 1 species
UACAAGUUCAAUUCACAAGAGCAAAACCUAAAAACUAAAAGUUCAUCAAUUCUUAUCCUACGAGUUUAAACAUAAACUAAAAGUUCAAUUUAUAUCCUAAAGGUUCAAUUCAUAUCCACAAAAGUUCAAGUCAUAUCCUAAAAUUUCUAUUUAUAUCCUAAAAAUUCAACUUAUAUCCUAAAAGUUUCAAUUCAUAUCCUAAAAAUUCAAUUCACAAGAACAAAACCUAAAAACUAAAAGUUAUAUUCAUAUCUUACAAGUUUAAACAUAAACUAAAACUUCAAGUCAUAUCCUAAAGGUUCAAUACAUAUCCUAAAGGUUCAAUUUAUUUCCCAAAAGUUCAACUCAUAUCCUAAAAGUUUCAAUUCAUAUCCUAAAAUGUUCAAGUCAUACAUAAAAGGUUCAAUUUAUAUCCUACAAGUUCAAUUCACAAGAACAAAACCUAAAAACUAAAAGUUAUAUUCAUAUCCUACGAGUUUAAACAUAAACUAAAAGUUCAAGUCAUAUCCUAAAGGUUCAAUACAUAUGCUAAAGGUUUAAUUUAUUUCCUAAAAGUUCAACUCAUAUCCUAAAAG